rnacentral:rRNA from 1 species
GAUGAACGCUGGCGGCGUGCUUAACACAUGCAAGUCGAGCGAAGCACCUUGACGGAUUUUUUCGGAAUGAAGUUUUGGUGACUGAGCGGCGGACGGGUGAGUAACGCGUGGGUAACCUGCCUCAUACAGGGGGAUAACAGUUGGAAACGGCUGCUAAUACCGCAUAAGCGCACAGUACCGCAUGGUACGGUGUGAAAAACUCCGGUGGUAUGAGAUGGACCCGCGUCUGAUUAGGUAGUUGGUGGGGUAACGGCCUACCAAGCCGACGAUCAGUAGCCGACCUGAGAGGGUGACCGGCCACAUUGGGACUGAGACACGGCCCAAACUCCUACGGGAGGCAGCAGUGGGGAAUAUUGCACAAUGGGGGAAACCCUGAUGCAGCGACGCCGCGUGAGCGAUGAAGUAUUUCGGUAUGUAAAGCUCUAUCAGCAGGGAAGAAAAUGACGG